GACGAACGCUGGCGGCGUGCUUAACACAUGCAAGUCGAACGGAAAGGCCCUGCUUUUGUGGGGUGCUCGAGUGGCGAACGGGUGAGUAACACGUGAGUAACCUGCCCUUGACUUUGGGAUAACGUCAGGAAACUGGGGCUAAUACCGGAUAGGAGCUCCUGCUGCAUGGUGGGGGUUGGAAAGUUUCGGCGGUGGGGGAUGGACUCGCGGCUUAUCAGCUUGUUGGUGGGGUAGUGGCUUACCAAGGCUUUGACGGGUAGCCGUCCUGAGAGGGUGACCGGCCACAUUGGGACUGAGAUACGGCCCAGACUCCUACGGGAGGCAGCAGUGGGGAAUAUUGCACAAUGGGCGGAAGCCUGAUGCAGCAACGCCGCGUGCGGGAUGACGGCCUUCGGGUUGUAAACCGCUUUCGCCUGUGACGAAGCGUGAGUGACGGUAAUGGGUAAAGAAGCACCGGCUAACUACGU
rnacentral:rRNA from 1 species